AGUUGAAGGAGGAUGGCUCAAUUGAAAGAACAGGAUUAGGUACCCUAGUAUUUUGAGCAGACAAUGAUGAGUGUCAUAGAUAAGUAUAUAAGUAAUAAUAAAAUUAUUUGAUUUAUGUAUAAAUGAAAGUGUAAGCACUCCACCUCAAGAGUAACAUGGCAACAUAGGAACUGAAAUCAUUAGACCGUUUCUGAAACCAGUAGUGAAGUAUGUUGUUUAAUUUGAUAACCCUCAUUGUGUAAGUACCAUAAUUUGAAUGUUUUAGAUAAAAAAAAUUUUAUCUAUUUCACAGGAGUUGCACGGCUGUCUUCAGUUGUUAUCAUGAGAUUUUGGUUAGAUCCAUUAAAUCAACGUAAACCCUUAUUUUAUUUUAUACAUAAAAUAUUCUUACCACUAUACUGGUUAAGAUAAUAGGACUAAGACAAGUCACCAGAGCCAAUUA
rnacentral:rRNA from 1 species